rnacentral:rRNA from 1 species
AUUGAACGCUGGCGGCAGGCCUAACACAUGCAAGUCGAGCGGCAGCGGGAAAGUAGCUUGCUACUUUUGCCGGCGAGCGGCGGACGGGUGAGUAAUGCCUGGGAAAUUGCCCAGUCGAGGGGGAUAAUAGUUGGAAACGACUGCUAAUACCGCAUACGCCCUACGGGGGAAAGCAGGGGACCUUCUGGCCUUGCGCGAUUGGAUAUGCCCAGGUGGGAUUGGCUAGUUGGUGAGGUAAUGGCUCACCAAGGCGACGAUCCCUAGCUGGUCUGAGAGGAUGAUCAGCCACACUGGAACUGGGACACGGUCCAGACUCCUACAGGAGGCAGCAGUGGGGAAUAUUGCACAAUGGGGGAAACCCUGAUGCAGCCAUGCCGCGUGUGUGAAGAAGGCCUUCGGGUUGUAAAGCACUUUCAGCGAGGAGGAAAGGUCAGUAGCUAAUACCUGCUGACUGUGACGUUACUCGCAGAAGAAGCACCGGCUAACUCCGUGCCAGCAGCCGCAGUAAAAC